GUGCUCGCUUUGGCAGCACAUAUACUAAAAUUGGAAUGAUACAGAGAAGAUUAGCAUGUCCCUUGUGCAAGGAUGACAUGCACAUUUUUGAAACAUUUCAUAUUUAA